rnacentral:lncRNA from 1 species
CUUUUACAGAAAAGUGAGGCUCAAUGAGGUUACAUUUCCUAGGUCACAGGGUGAGUGUGGAUGAUCAGAUUCAGACCAGGUGGUCAGGUUCCAUGAUCUGCACCCCAUCGCCCGACCCACCUCACUGUGUGACACUUUCUGAGGACCAUCCAACGCCUGAGUGCUGAGGCUCAGCGAGUGUGUGCUGGGCAAAACCAUGAGAUUGCGGGGGGCCCAGGCAGUUCACAGUCGUUUGAGUCCCCACAGGCUUUGCUGUGGGAGCUGGAGACCUGGGGCUGGCUCUGGGAGAGGACGCCUGUCCUCUACUGUCUGCUCCGUGAAGGUGGCUGUGCAGGCAACUCUGUCAGAAUAGAACCAGGUGUGCUUUAUGGAGUCACUGGUACUGCUGAUGGCCAAGAAACAGCUGUUCCCCCCGGCAGCCCAGGGGGCCAGGGAGCAGAGGACUGCAAGCAGCAGAGGGUCAUUAAAGGAACUGCGCUGGCUCUGGGCAGGAGGGCUGUGCUGAUGCUGACGCCAUGGCUCAGAGAAUCAACCCAUGGGUGACACAUGGAAGACUUCCCCAGUCUCCUGCAGAACAGGAUUUCGCCCGUCAUGACCACAGGAGUGGGGACGGGAAGAACAGAGUGAAGGAAGAAAGACCAAGACAGAGAUGGGACAUUAGUUCUCUGACGAGGGAUUGAACUCACUCUCCCGGCAUUGGAAGCAUGGAGUUUUAACCACUGGACUGCCUGGCAAGUCCCCAAGAAAGAGAAACAGAAGCAUAAUACUUGUUUUUUAAAAUAAUGACGCCCCCUCCGAAUAAUAAUAAUGAAACUCAUUUAUAUUUAAGAAUAAAUGUCAUAAGCUAAAUAAUCAUUAUUCAGACACAUCCUAACUAAUAAUGUAUAUCAGCUUUUGUAGUUACGCUGUAUUCAGUGAAUAAUUAAUAA